GAUGAACGCUGGCGACGUGCUUAACACAUGCAAGUCGAACGGAAAGGCCCAAGCUUGCUUGGGUACUCGAGUGGCGAACGGGUGAGUAACACGUGGGUGAUCUGCCCUGCACUUCGGGAUAAGCCUGGGAAACUGGGUCUAAUACUGGAUAGGACCACUUCUUGGAUGUUGUGGUGGGAAGUUUUUUCGGUGUGGGAUGAGCUCGCGGCCUAUCAGCUUGUUGGUGGGGUAAUGGCCUACCAAGGCGUCGACGGGUAGCCGGCCUGAGAGGGUGUACGGCCACAUUGGGACUGAGAUACGGCCCAGACUCCUACGGGAGGCAGCAGUGGGGAAUAUUGCACAAUGGGCGCAAGCCUGAUGCAGCGACGCCGCGUGGGGGAUGACGGCCUUCGGGUUGUAAACUCCUUUCGCUAGGGACGAAGCGUUUUGUGACGGUACCUGGAGAAGAAGCACCGGCUAACUACGUG
rnacentral:rRNA from 1 species